CGUACACUCCUGCGGGAGGCAGCAGUGGGGAAUAUUGGACAAUGGGCGCAAGCCUGAUCCAGCCAUGCCGCGUGAGUGAUGAAGGCCCUAGGGUUGUAAAGCUCUUUCACCGGUGAAGAUAAUGACGGUAACCGGAGAAGAAGCCCCAGCUAACUUCGUGCCAGCAGCCGCGGUAAUACGAAGGGGGCUAGCGUUGUUCGGAUUUACUGGGCGUAAAGCGCACGUAGGCGGACUAUUAAGUCAGGGGUGAAAUCCCGGGGCUCAACCCCGGAACUGCCUUUGAUACUGGUAGUCUUGAGUUCGAGAGAGGUGAGUGGAAUUCCGAGUGUAGAGGUGAAAUUCGUAGAUAUUCGGAGGAACACCAGUGGCGAAGGCGGCUCACUGGCUCGAUACUGACGCUGAGGUGCGAAAGCGUGGGGAGCAAACAGGAUUAGAAACCCCUGUAGUCCC
rnacentral:rRNA from 1 species